GUACAAAAGUUGCUGAUAUAAUCCUGACAGCUCUGGGAUUUUGCAUUCCUUAGUAAAUCCUGUCUCAGAUGUCAGGGUUUGGAUUUUAUUUUUCCCUUUCCUUCUUUACAGUAUGUUUACAGGAUUCACAACAAUAUCUUGGGAUUUGUUCUUCUUGUAAAGCCAGUAAGAGUGAUGUGGUUAAUCUUCUCCACUGUGUUCCAAACGUACCCCCUGUUCCUCAGACUGCCUAAGAGGUUUAUUUGGGGCAGACAACAUGAUAUUUUUGGACUGCUGAGCGCCCAGGAAAGCAGGGCAUGUUCUCUGAGCACAUUCAGAAGGAUCCUGAAGGGUGAUUCUUCAGGAAGCUGUACCUACAGGAGACUGAAGCAGUUCAGCUUUGAGGAUGGAGGUGGAGAACAUCAAGGACUGAAGGUGUUUAUGGAAAAUGUGGUUAUGGAAAAGGCUUUUGGUAAGUUUAGAAUAGUUUAUUUUCCUUAGAUACACCUAAAAAACAGAAAGGACAGACUUCUUUUUUCCCCUAUUGUUGUUUUGCAGACAAACCUGAAAAAGGGAAGAAAUUUCAGUGGGGAAUUUUAUGAAAAUAUUUUGUCAUUUUCACAUAAUGCAAUCACCUGCAGACUGUUCUUUUCUGUAAUGAAUGUGAAUGUAAAGGGGAACUGAAGACCCUCAUCUGCUAUGAAGUAAGAUUUGAAUAAAACCUGAACUUCAUCUUUCA
rnacentral:lncRNA from 1 species